rnacentral:rRNA from 1 species
AUUGAACGCUGGCGGCAUGCUUUACACAUGCAAGUCGAACGGUAACAGGUUAAGCUGACGAGUGGCGAACGGGUGAGUAAUGCAUCGGAACGUGCCCGGUCGUGGGGGAUAACGCAGCGAAAGCUGCGCUAAUACCGCAUACGAUCUGAGGAUGAAAGCGGGGGACCGUAAGGCCUCGCGCGAUCGGAGCGGCUGAUGUCAGAUUAGGUAGUUGGUGGGGUAAAGGCUCACCAAGCCAACGAUCUGUAGGUGGUCUGAGAGGACGACCAGCCACACUGGGACUGAGACACGGCCCAGACUCCUACGGGAGGCAGCAGUGGGGAAUUUUGGACAAUGGGCGAAAGCCUGAUCCAGCAAUGCCGCGUGCAGGAAGAAGGCCUUCGGGUUGUAAACUGCUUUUGUACGGAGCGAAAAGGUCUCCUCUAAUACAGGGGGCUCAUGACGGUACCGUAAGAAUAAGCACCGGCUAACUACGUGCCAGCAGCCGCCGUAA